UACGUAGGGUGCAAGCGUUGUCCGGAAUUAUUGGGCGUAAAGAGCUCGUAGGCGGUUUGUUGCGUCGGCUGUGAAAUCCCGAGGCUCAACCUCGGGUCUGCAGUCGAUACGAGCAAACUAGAGUGUUGCAGGGGAGACUGGAAUUCCUGGUGUAGCGGUGAAAUGCGCAGAUAUCAGGAGGAACACCAAUGGCGAAGGCAGCUCGCUGGAACGGUACUGACGCUGAGGCGCGAAAGCCAGGGGAGCAAACGGG
rnacentral:rRNA from 1 species